UUUCAUUGAAAUCACAAAACAUAAUUUUCCUGUGAUGUUUAACUCAGUUUCUCCUAAUUGUAUCUUGAAUGUAACCAUUUUGAUAUUCUUCUGUUGUAAUCCUCAUUUACAGACAACCCCACAGCUGCCAUUAUUAAUUCUCUGUGCCUCCCCAUUGCCAACAUAUUGGUUGUGGUGUUUAUGGUGAUCUAUGAGAACUACAUGAAGAAGCGCAGAGAGUCCAGAAGUGGUGUGAAUGACGACAUGAUGCUUGAAUCAACAGCAAUCUACAUGAAUACACGACCUCCUGGACGGCGUCAUAAAGCAGCUCGCUGAUGAAGGAAGGCCUGAUGGAGCUUCACAUCAAAUCACCAUUUACUCUCUAUAAGUUUUCAAGUUAUUCAGCUUGCAGUAGAUAUUUUAUCACAUUUUAGAGGCUAUUUUUAAAGUUUUAUUAUUGCUAUUAGCCAAGAGCUCCAAUAUUGUACUCCAUUGAAAUAUUGUUUAACAAAGUAAAUUCUGUGGUAUCUUCAUCCAUUUGUUGUAUUUUGGAAUUUCAGUGAUUCUGAUGCUUUGGUGUGCAUAUUUUACCAUGUUAGAAAGUGUCACUUUUCUUGCUGAUG